rnacentral:rRNA from 1 species
CAGCAGCCGCGGUAAUACGUAGGUGGCGAGCGUUGUCCGGAUUUAUUGGGCGUAAAGGGAGAGUAGGCGGUCUUUUAAGUCUGAUGUGAAAGCCCACGGCUCAACCGUGGAGGGUCAUUGGAAACUGGGAGACUUGAGUGCAGAAGAGGAGAGCGGAAUUCCAUGUGUAGCGGUGAAAUGCGUAGAUAUAUGGAGGAACACCGGUGGCGAAAGCGGCUCUCUGGUCCUUUACUGGCGCUGAGGCGCGAAAGCGUGGGGAGCAAACAGGAUUAGAUACCCCGGUAGUCCCUGUCUCUUAUAC